GUAAUUUUUGUAUAUGCAUUAGUUUUUUUCAGAAGAGAUUAUGCUGUUUUGUUUUGUUUUUUUGUUUUUUUUUUUUGUCAAAUGACUUUUGAAGAAGAACGCAAUCCUUUUGAACAUUACUGGAUGCCCCCUCCUGGAGAGAGAAAUCUUUAGUCUCCGCAGAACACUUGCAGCAAAAAGCUAUGACGACACAAGUUAACCUACAGUGCUUUGCCACUGCACCCUGGACCAGACUGCAGUGGUUGGUCUCCUAAUUUCUGCUUAGACAUCUAAGCUGUGGAGAUUCGAUAUCGCCUACUGCGACUUAGGUGUGCACCAGCUCCUUCAGCAGCCCAGAAAAGAAAAGGAGCUUGAGGGCUGGUUUGGAACAAUGGAUAAUGUGGACAACUAAAGACUCAAGCUAAAGUCUUCCUGGCUGAGAGAGGUCUGGUGACCUUCAUAACAGCAGAGAAUAGCAGACGGUGAGAGCAGACCAGCGUGCGUGGCUCUGCUGCUGCAUCAAAGGCUGCCUUCAUCAAAAGAGACGCAGAGCCAUUUGCAAGGAAGAAAAGAAAAAAAAAUCACGUUCCUGGGAAGCCAAAAUGCAGAUCUGGGUCCAUUGA
rnacentral:lncRNA from 1 species